UUUCUUCUUCCUCUUCUG
rnacentral:sRNA from 1 species